CAGUAAUCGUACGGUAACAUACAGUGUAAUAUGUAUCAUGGUUAUAGAUUCUUAUAUUCGUGACUUGUAGUCUUACCUUUGUUCAAUUCGAAGCAUCAACAAUUCGGCGUCAUUGUCAGAUCAGGCCGUGAAAUUGGCUAUAUCAAUAAUCUUGUUUCGCUAGGUGGUCAUUGAUCGUUUACGUGAUUUUACUCUUGACAAGGGCCAAGGAAGUUUACAGGACAAACCAGUUGACAUGUGGAGUGAAAAGCCUUCGCCGGAACGCGGGUAAACCGCCAAACUUGAGCAUCAUUCGGCCACACGCAAGGUCGCCGAGCCGAUAUGAAUGCAUAAUAACACGACUUUCAAAUUAUAUGCAAAUCUGGAAUUUGUAAGUCCUAUCAACCUUUACAAAUUACAAUAGUGACUUACAGUAUAUGUUGUC